GUGUCCUACGGGGCGCAGCAGUCGGGAAUAUUGCGCAAUGGAGGAAACUCUGACGCAGUGACGCCGCGUGCAUAAAGAAGGUUUUCGGAUUGUAAACUGCUUUAGACAGGGAAGAAACAAGACAGUACCUGUAGAAUAAGCUCCGGCUAACUACGUGCCAGCAGCCGCGGUACUACGUAGGGAGCAAGCGUUAUCCGGAUUUAUUGGGUGUAAAGGGUGCGUAGACGGGAAAACAAGUUAGUUGUGAAAUCCCUCGGCUUAACUGAGGAACUGCAACUAAAACUAUUUUUCUUGAGUGUUGGUGA
rnacentral:rRNA from 1 species